ACAUAAGGAAACUCGUCUUUCAGCUGC
rnacentral:piRNA from 1 species